GGGUUGUGAGGUUAAGCGACUAAGCGUACACGGUGGAUGCCCUGGCAGUCAGAGGCGAUGAAGGACGUGCUAAUCUGCGAUAAGCGUCGGUAAGGUGAUAUGAACCGUUAUAACCGGCGAUUUCCGAAUGGGGAAACCCAGUGUGUUUCGACACACUAUCAUUAACUGAAUCCAUAGGUUAAUGAGGCGAACCGGGGGAACUGAAACAUCUAAGUACCCCGAGGAAAAGAAAUCAACCGAGAUUCCCCCAGUAGCGGCGAGCGAACGGGGAGCAGCCCAGAGCCUGAAUCAGURUGUGUGUUAGUGGAAGCGUCUGGAAAGGCGCGCGAUACAGGGUGACAGCCCCGUACACAAAAAUGCACAURYUGUGAGCUCGAUGAGUAGGGCGGGACACGUGGUAUCCUGUCUGAAUAUGGGGGGACCAUCCUCCAAGGCUAAAUACUCCUGACUGACCGAUAGUGAACCAGUACCGUGAGGGAAAGGCGAAAAGAACCCCGGCGAGGGGAGUGAAAAAGAACCUGAAACCGUGUACGUACAAGCAGUGGGAGCACGCUUAGGCGUGUGACUGCGUACCUUUUGUAUAAUGGGUCAGCGACUUAUAUUCUGUAGCAAGGUUAACCGAAUAGGGGAGCCGAAGGGAAACCGAGUCUUAACUGGGCGUUAAGUUGCAGGGUAUAGACCCGAAACCCGGUGAUCUAGCCAUGGGCAGGUUGAAGGUUGGGUAACACUAACUGGAGGACCGAACCGACUAAUGUUGAAAAAUUAGCGGAUGACUUGUGGCUGGGGGUGAAAGGCCAAUCAAACCGGGAGAUAGCUGGUUCUCCCCGAAAGCUAUUUAGGUAGCGCCUCGUGAAUUCAUCUCCGGGGGUAGAGCACUGUUUCGGCAAGGGGGUCAUCCCGACUUACCAACCCGAUGCAAACUGCGAAUACCGGAGAAUGUUAUCACGGGAGACACACGGCGGGUGCUAACGUCCGUCGUGAAGAGGGAAACAACCCAGACCGCCAGCUAAGGUCCCAAAGUCAUGGUUAAGUGGGAAACGAUGUGGGAAGGCCCAGACAGCCAGGAUGUUGGCUUAGAAGCAGCCAUCAUUUAAAGAAAGCGUAAUAGCUCACUGGUCGAGUCGGCCUGCGCGGAAGAUGUAACGGGGCUAAACCAUGCACCGAAGCUGCGGCAGCGACACUAUGUGUUGUUGGGUAGGGGAGCGUUCUGUAAGCCUGUGAAGGUGUGCUGUGAGGCAUGCUGGAGGUAUCAGAAGUGCGAAUGCUGACAUAAGUAACGAUAAAGCGGGUGAAAAGCCCGCUCGCCGGAAGACCAAGGGUUCCUGUCCAACGUUAAUCGGGGCAGGGUGAGUCGACCCCUAAGGCGAGGCCGAAAGGCGUAGUCGAUGGGAAACAGGUUAAUAUUCCUGUACUUGGUGUUACUGCGAAGGGGGGACGGAGAAGGCUAUGUUGGCCGGGCGACGGUUGUCCCGGUUUAAGCGUGUAGGCUGGUUUUCCAGGCAAAUCCGGAAAAUCAAGGCUGAGGCGUGAUGACGAGGCACUACGGUGCUGAAGCAACAAAUGCCCUGCUUCCAGGAAAAGCCUCUAAGCAUCAGGUAACAUCAAAUCGUACCCCAAACCGACACAGGUGGUCAGGUAGAGAAUACCAAGGCGCUUGAGAGAACUCGGGUGAAGGAACUAGGCAAAAUGGUGCCGUAACUUCGGGAGAAGGCACGCUGAUAUGUAGGUGAAGUCCCUCGCGGAUGGAGCUGAAAUCAGUCGAAGAUACCAGCUGGCUGCAACUGUUUAUUAAAAACACAGCACUGUGCAAACACGAAAGUGGACGUAUACGGUGUGACGCCUGCCCGGUGCCGGAAGGUUAAUUGAUGGGGUUAGCCGCAAGGCGAAGCUCUUGAUCGAAGCCCCGGUAAACGGCGGCCGUAACUAUAACGGUCCUAAGGUAGCGAAAUUCCUUGUCGGGUAAGUUCCGACCUGCACGAAUGGCGUAAUGAUGGCCAGGCUGUCUCCACCCGAGACUCAGUGAAAUUGAACUCGCUGUGAAGAUGCAGUGUACCCGCGGCAAGACGGAAAGACCCCGUGAACCUUUACUAUAGCUUGACACUGAACAUUGAGCCUUGAUGUGUAGGAUAGGUGGGAGGCUUWGAAGUGUGGACGCCAGUCUGCAUGGAGCCGACCUUGAAAUACCACCCUUUAAUGUUUGAUGUUCUAACGUUGACCCGUAAUCCGGGUUGCGGACAGUGUCUGGUGGGUAGUUUGACUGGGGCGGUCUCCUCCUAAAGAGUAACGGAGGAGCACGAAGGUUGGCUAAUCCUGGUCGGACAUCAGGAGGUUAGUGCAAUGGCAUAAGCCAGCUUGACUGCGAGCGUGACGGCGCGAGCAGGUGCGAAAGCAGGUCAUAGUGAUCCGGUGGUUCUGAAUGGAAGGGCCAUCGCUCAACGGAUAAAAGGUACUCCGGGGAUAACAGGCUGAUACCGCCCAAGAGUUCAUAUCGACGGCGGUGUUUGGCACCUCGAUGUCGGCUCAUCACAUCCUGGGGCUGAAGUAGGUCCCAAGGGUAUGGCUGUUCGCCAUUUAAAGUGGUACGCGAGCUGGGUUUAGAACGUCGUGAGACAGUUCGGUCCCUAUCUGCCGUGGGCGCUGGAGAACUGAGGGGGGCUGCUCCUAGUACGAGAGGACCGGAGUGGACGCAUCACUGGUGUUCGGGUUGUCAUGCCAAUGGCACUGCCCGGUAGCUAAAUGCGGAAGAGAUAAGUGCUGAAAGCAUCUAAGCACGAAACUUGCCCCGAGAUGAGUUCUCCCUGACUCCUUGAGAGUCCUGAAGGAACGUUGAAGACGACGACGUUGAUAGGCCGGGUGUGUAAGCGCAGCGAUGCGUUGAGCUAACCGGUACUAAUGAACCGUGAGGCUUAACCUUACAACGCCGAAGVUGUU
rnacentral:rRNA from 1 species